rnacentral:rRNA from 1 species
UACAGAGGGUGCGAGCGUUAAUCGGAAUUACUGGGCGUAAAGCGCGCGUAGGCGGUUUUUCAAGUCGGGUGUGAAAUCCCCAGGCUCAACCUGGGAACUGCACUCGAGACUGGAUUACUAGAGUAUGGGAGAGGGAAGUGGAAUUUCCGGUGUAGCGGUGAAGUGCGUAGAUAUCGGAAGGAACAUCAGUGGCGAAAGCGACUUCCUGGACCAAUACUGACGCUCAUGUGCGAAAGCGUGGGGAGCAAACAGG